rnacentral:rRNA from 1 species
AACGAACGCUGGCGGCGCGCCUAAUACAUGCAAGUCGAGCGAGAAGGUGUAGCAAUACACUUGUAAAGCGGCGAACGGGUGAGGAAUGCAUGGGUAACCUACCCUCGAGUGGGGAAUAACUAGCCGAAAGGUUAGCUAAUACCGCAUACGUUUCCGGAACUUCGGUUUCGGAAAGAAAGCAAUACCGUGGGUAUUGCGCUCCUGGAUGGGCUCAUGUCCUAUCAGCUUGUUGGUGAGGUAACGGCUCACCAAGGCUUCGACGGGUAGCUGGUCUGAGAGGACGAUCAGCCACACUGGCACUGCGACACGGGCCAGACUCCUACGGAGGCAGCAGUAAGGAAUAUUGCGCAAUGGACGAAAGUCUGACGCAGCGACGCCGCGUGGGGGGAUGAAGGUCUUCGGAUUGUAAACCCCUUUCGGGAGGGAAGAUGGAGUGGGUAACCACUUGGACGGUACCUCCAGAAGCAGCCACGGCUAACUUCGUGCCAGCAGCCGCGGUAAU